rnacentral:lncRNA from 1 species
GUCAAUAAAAAAAAUCUGAAAAGUCUGGUUGCCAUGGAAACCACGUGACAUCAUAUGUAUAUAUUAGUAUAGCAAGGAGAUAUGGCUAACAUUGUAUUUUAUGGUAAAAAUGAGAUAAAGCAUAACAUGUUUUGUUAUUUUCAUGGGUAUAAGUAAUGAUUUCAAUCAUUUAAACUGCUAACUGACAAAUUUUUCGAAUAGAAACAGUUUUUUGGUACAUAAGGUGGUCCAUUUGACACAAAAAUCGGCAUGAUUUUUGCCGAUUUUUGUCAUUUUUUAAGUCUGAUUUUACCGAAAACGCAGAAAUCCUCACAUUAAA